rnacentral:rRNA from 1 species
UACGGAGGGUGCAAGCGUUGUCCGGAUUUAUUGGGUUUAAAGGGUGCGUAGGCGGCCCGUUCAGUCAGUGGUGAAAGCCUCCAGCUCAACUGGAGAACUGCCAUUGAUACUGGCGGGCUUGAGUACAGACGAGGUUGGCGGAAUUGAUUGUGUAGCGGUGAAAUGCAUAGAUACAAUCAAGAACACCGAUUGCGUAGGCAGCUAACUAGGCUGUAACUGACGCUGAGGCACGAAAGCGUGGGGAGCGAACAGG